CUCAUUCUUAAACAGGCAGCUUGUCAACUUAUGUUAGUUUCAAUAUUUUUGGAGCUACAUCUAAAAAGCUACAUCUUAAAUUAAACAGGGUGAAGGGCUUAUCUUUACCGACCUGCCCAUGAGAAACCCCCAGAAUGAACUUGGGGGGUAGGUGGACAGGUGCACUUGAAAUCCACUUUGACAACUACAAGGAAUCAGCCGGCCUUUUAUGAGCUCAAUGUUCUUGUGGAGCAUGAGAAAAAUGCUGUCAUAGAAACAGGCUCUGAUUUUGGCAUCAAACAUUUUCAUGAUGGAAAAAUAUACAAGGACCCGCAUUGCUGAGUGGAGUAAUCUGGACCACACGUCUGAGGGGAAGGUAGAAACCACUGAUGCUCACAGGUGUUCCUAUCCGAAAACAAACGGCUCUGCAUGAAGGUCUAAUUCACC
ensembl:lncRNA